GGAAGAAGGUAUAGGAGCCUCCGCUGCCGUACCACCAGACUCAGAGACUGCUUCAUACACCAAGCUGUCAGACAGCUAAAUUCUCUCCCCUCACUCCCCCCAGCCAUAUCCGUCAGUCUGACACGGGGCUAAAAUCCCCCCCACACCCCCUUAAAUCACUCGGGACUCUGCAAACAAUACGACCUGCCUAGUGGGCCACUUUUGGUAAGCAGAACUGGCGCUGCGGGAUGAACCGAACGCCGGGUUAAGGCGCCCGAUGCCGACGCUCAUCAGACCCAGCAAAGGUGUUGGUCGAUAUAGACAGCAGGACGGUGGCCAUGGAAGUCGGAAUCCGCUAAGGAGUGUGUAACAACUCACCUGCCGAAUCAACUAGCCCAGGCUAGGCGCUAGUCGGUUGGGUGUGCUUUCACUCGAAGCAUGCUAAACUCCCUAGCGGGGGGAUCCACCUGAUUCCUUACGCGACGGAGGGGAGUGACCCUUCACUCUGACCCGAAGGCCACCUAUUGUGGUGUUGUGAGCUAACAGGGGGGUCAAAAUUAGAUGUUUGUAGCUGAAACCUGCCUGCGUUUGGAGGGCUUUGCAGCAGGGUGAGCCUCUCACAACGAGGUUACAAGAGUCUGUGGAGCCUGAGUGGAAAGGGCCUCUGUGACCGAGUGGGGCAUUGCAGUAUAGCUCCGUGCGCCAGCAUAACCAAUACUGGUAAGAACUUGAGACCAGUCACUUGGCAUUGCCACCUCUUGGUGCACUCUCGGUUCGGGACAUGACUGACGUGAGUAACGUAAGCAAUUACUUAGACGAGGAAAGGGGCGGCGGGUUCCCUCGUCGCGGCUUCUCGGGGGCAUGAGCCCCGUUAAUAGUCGUCGUCUCAACUCAUGCAACAGGGUGAGUCAUGUCUUGGAAUAUGCUAGUUGGUUCUGGAAAGCCACCCGGGCGAGUUCGCAGAUGCAGAAGUGUGCCCCAUUGCGGGGCAGCGGGGAGUCUAUUCCUAGCGACGCGCUUUGUAGAAGCUGAGCAGCCCGGGCAGGACACGUUUUCGCCGCGUGGGAUUCUAGGUAAGUAUCCAUGGUAAGUGACUUUGGCCGAUCACCGCACUUCGGAGUUAUGAUCUCGGGGGGGGCCGUUCAUUCCUCUCUUAAAAGUAGCCAAAUGCCUCGUCAACUAAUUAGUGACGCGCAUGAAUGGAUGAACGAGAUUCCCACUGUCCCUACCUAUUAUCUAGCGAAACCACAGCCAAGGGAACGGGCUUGGCAGAAUCAGCGGGGAAAGAAGACCUUGUUGAGCCACAUAUAUGCAGCAUAUUGCCCCACAUGCAUACAAAUGUUGAAAAGAUGUUUUUCUUCUCUAACAAGACUGCGGCAACAACUAAAAACUCAGCGAAACCACAGGUGAAUAACAUUAUGUAGUAAGGAUGAGUAUAAACUGUAUGCUUUGUAGGAUCCAAUUAUGGCACUUUUCCACUGCAUAGUACAGCAUGGUACGGCUCGCUUUAAAUGGUACCUGGUCUGUUGAUGUUCUAAGCGUACCGUACCGGUACUUUAAACGUGACAUGAACAUACUGAAGUGGUACUUCUGCAGUGGAAAAGCAACUGAGUUAAAGCGAACCGAGCUGUGCCGUACUAAGACGAGUCGUACCACGCAGUGGAAAAGCAAAGCGAGCCGAGCCGAGGCGUUACAUGCAGUGGAAUAAAUCAUGUUUGUGUGCGGGCAUACCAUCGCUUUUUUACUUGCCAUUUUUGUAUUUCCUUGCACCUCAAGAAAACGUGAUGUGUGUGUAUAUAUAAAAAAAACUCUUGCUUACUCCACCUUCAUUUUACCCGCCUUUCAUAAUAAUUUUGAAAUAUUACUUUAAGGUGGGAUGCCAACCAGAGGGGACGGGGAGCAGCUGGUUGCCCUGGACAAAAUAAAAAAGGCAGCCAUUAUUGGCAUCAAUGGAGACUGGAUAAGAUGCUACAUUGAAGAAAUGGCCGGCAGCCAGCCGAGGGCAGAUAGGCACAGCUAUAAAUUCCAAGCUCGCAGAGAUGCGAAGAUCCAUGAA